rnacentral:RNase_MRP_RNA from 1 species
UAGAGUUGCCAUCGAAGUACACAAACAGGCGUAAGUGCCUCUAAUUGCUUUGGGGAAAGUCUCCGGGACACAGGGUAGAAAGUACCGCUCUUAGUUGAGUUAAUCUAGAGCCACGGUAGCCGGCUCUAGGGAUUGUCCAUAUCAAAGUUAUGCAACUUAUAAAACACAACGGAGCUUAUU